AACCUGCCCACUGAUAAAAAUUAAAGGGCCGCAGUAUUUUGACUGUGCGAAGGUAGCAUAAUCACUAGUCUUUUAAUUGGAGGCUUGUAUGAAUGGUUGAAUGAGAUAUAUACUGUCUUUUUUAAAAUUAUAUAGAAUUUUAUUUUUUAAUUAAAAAGUUAAAAUAAAAUUAAAGGACGAGAAGACCCUAUAGAUCUUUAUUUUUGUUAUUUAUAAAUUAAAAAGAAUAUUAAAAUUUAUAAUUUAAUUAAAAAUUUUAUUGGGGUGAUAUUAAAAUUUAAAAAACUUUUAAAAUAUAUAAACAUUAAUAUAUGAGUUAAUGAUCCAGUUUUAUUGAUUAAAAAUUUAAGUUACCUUAGGGAUAACAGCGUAAUUUUUUUUUAGAGUUCAUAUCGACAAAAAAGAUUGCGACCUCGAUGUUGGAUUAAGAGUUAUUUUUAGGUGUAGAAGUUUAAAGUUUAGGUCUGUUCGACCUUUGAAUUCUUACAUGAUCUGAGUUCAAAACCGGAGA
rnacentral:rRNA from 1 species